UGGUGGAGUGAUUUGUCUGGUUAAUUCCGAUAACGAACGAGACCUUAACCUGCUAAAUAGUACAGCCAACCUUGGUUGGUUUGGACUUCUUAGAGGGACUGACUACGUUUAGUGGUCGGAAGUUUGAGGCAAUAACA
rnacentral:rRNA from 1 species